UACGAAGGGGGCUAGCGUUGCUCGGAAUCACUGGGCGUAAAGCGCACGUAGGCGGAUUGUUAAGUCAGGGGUGAAAUCCUGGAGCUCAACUCCAGAACUGCCUUUGAUACUGGCGAUCUCGAGUCCGGGGAGAGGUGAGUGGAACUGCGAGUGUAGAGGUGAAAUUCGUAGAGUAUUCGCAAGAACACCAGUGGCGAAGGCGGCUCACUGGCCCGGUACUGACGCUGAGGUGCGAAAGCGUGGGGAGCAAACAGG
rnacentral:rRNA from 1 species